CCUACGGGAGGCAGCAGUGGGGAAUCUUGCGCAAUGGGGGCAACCCUGACGCAGCCAUGCCGCGUGAAUGAUGAAGGCCUUAGGGUUGUAAAGUUCUUUUGCCCGUGACGAUGAUGACGGUAACGGGAGAAUAAGCUCCGGCUAACUUCGUGCCAGCAGCCGCGGUAAUACGAAGGGGGCUAGCGUUGUUCGGAAUUACUGGGCGUAAAGCGCGCGCAGGCGGUUCGAUAAGUUAGGGGUGAAAUCCCUGGGCUCAACCCAGGAAUGGCCUUUAAGACUGUCGAGCUAGAGGACGAGAGAGGUGAGUGGAAUUCCCAGUGUAGAGGUGAAAUUCGUAGAUAUUGGGAAGAACACCGGUGGCGAAGGCGGCAUACUGGAUCAUUACUGACGCUGAGGCUCGAAAGCGUGGGGAGCAAACAGGAUUAGAUACCCUGGUAGUCCACGCCGUAAACGAUGAUUGCUAGUUGUCGGGAUGUUUACAUCUCGGUGACGCAGCUAACGCAUUAAGCAAUCCGCCUGGGGAGUACGGUCGCAAGAUUAAAACUUAAAUGAAUUGACGGNNGAGAGNGCGAGACGACACGAGGAGAG
rnacentral:rRNA from 1 species